rnacentral:misc_RNA from 1 species
CUGCCCUCCAGCCCGGCUGGUGUGUUGGGCCGCCGUCCUUCCUUCCGGGGAGGGACGGGCCCGAAAGGCAGCGGCGGCACCGCGUCCGGUCCUCGAGCGUAUGGGGCUUCGUCACCCGCUCUGAAGGCCCGGCCGGCGCUUGCCGACCCAACCUAGUACUUUCUCCA